rnacentral:rRNA from 1 species
ACAUGCCUACAACAUAGCGUUAAUGUACCGGAUCACAUUAGAACUCCACAAUUAAGCAUGCUUGGGCUAGAUUAUUACUGGGAUGGGUGACUGCCCUGAAAGUGCUAGUGUUUUACAUGCC